AUUGAACGCUGGCGGCAGGCCUAACACAUGCAAGUCGAACGGCAGCACAGAAGAGCUUGCUCUUUGGGUGGCGAGUGGCGGACGGGUGAGUAAUGUCUGGGAAACUGCCCGAUGGAGGGGAUAACUACUGGAAACGGUAGCUAAUACCGCAUAACGUCGCAAGACCAAAGUGGGGGACCUUCGGGCCUCACACCAUCGGAUGUGCCCAGAUGGGAUUAGCUAGUAGGUGGGGUAAUGGCUCACCUAGGCGACGAUCCCUAGCUGGUCUGAGAGGAUGAACAGCCACACUGGAACUGAGACCCGGUCCAGAAUCCUACGGGAGGCAGGAGUGGGGAAUAUUGCACAAUGGGCGCAAGCCUGAUGCAGCCAUGCCGCGUGUAUGAAGAAGGCCUUCGGGUUGUAAAGUACUUUCAGCGGGGAGGAAGGCGGUGAGGUUAAUAACCUUGCCGAUUGACGUUACCCGCAGAAGAAGCACCGGCUAACUCCGUGCCAGCCGCCGCAGUAA
rnacentral:rRNA from 1 species